UACGUAGGGGGCAAGCGUUGUCCGGAUUUAUUGGGCGUAAAGAGCGUGUAGGCGGCCAUACAGGUCCGUUGUGAAAACUGGAGGCUUAACCUCCAGACGUCGAUGGAAACCGUAUGGCUAGAGUCCGGAAGAGGAGAGUGGAAUUCCUGGUGUAGCGGUGAAAUGCGCAGAUAUCAGGAAGAACACCCGUGGCGAAGGCGGCUCUCUGGGACGGUACUGACGCUGAGGCGCGAAAGCGUGGGGAGCGAACAGG
rnacentral:rRNA from 1 species